UACGGGAGGCAGCAGUGGGGGAUAUUGCGCAAUGGGGGGCAACCCUGACGCAGCAACGCCGCGUGAAGGAUGAAGGUUUUCGGAUUGUAAACUUCUUUUAUCAGGGACGAAUUUUGACGGUACCUGAUGAAUAAGCUCCGGCUAACUACGUGCCAGCAGCCGCGGUAAU
rnacentral:rRNA from 1 species